rnacentral:rRNA from 1 species
CCUACGGGAGGCAGCAGUAGGGAAUCUUCCGCAAUGGACGAAAGUCUGACGGAGCAACGCCGCGUGAGUGAUGAAGGCUUUCGGGUCGUAAAACUCUGUUGUUAGGGAAGAACAAGUACGAGAGUAACUGCUUUCGUAACCUGUGACGGUACCUAACCAGAAAUCGUCCUGACGGCUAACUACAAGCUGCCAGCAGCCGCGGUAAUACGUAGGUGGCAAGCGUUAUCCGGAAUUAUUGGGCGUAAAGCGCGCGCAGGCGGUUUCUUAAGUCUGAUGUGAAAGCCCCACGGCUCAACCGUGGAGGGUCAUUGGAAACUGGGGAACUUGAGUGCAGAAGAGAAAAGCGGAAUUCCACGUGUAGCGGUGAAAUGCGUAGAGAUGUGGAGGAACACCAGUGGCGAAGGCGGCUUUUUGGUCUGUAACUGACGCUGAGGCGCGAAAGCGUGGGGAGCAAACAGGAUUAGAUACCUGGUAGUCCACGCCGUAAACGAUGAGUGCUAAGUGUUAGAGGGUUUCCGCCCUUUAGUGCUGCAGCUAACGCAUUAAGCACUCCGCCUGGGGAGUACGGUCGCAAGACUGAAACUCAAAGGAAUUGACGGGGGCCCGCACAAGCGGUGGGAGCAUGUGGUUUAAUUCGAAGCAACGCGAAGAACCUUAC